rnacentral:rRNA from 1 species
CACUCCUACGGGAGGCAGCAGUGGGGAAUUUUGGACAAUGGGCGAAAGCCUGAUCCAGCAAUGCCGCGUGUGUGAAGAAGGCCUUCGGGUUGUAAAGCACUUUUGUCCGGAAAGAAAUCCUUGGCUCUAAUACAGUCGGGGGAUGACGGUACCGGAAGAAUAAGCACCGGCUAACUACGUGCCAGCAGCCGCGGUAAUACGUAGGGUGCGAGCGUUAAUCGGAAUUACUGGGCGUAAAGCGUGCGCAGGCGGUUUGCUAAGACCGAUGUGAAAUCCCCGGGCUCAACCUGGGAACUGCAUUGGUGACUGGCAGGCUAGAGUAUGGCAGAGGGGGGUAGAAUUCCACGUGUAGCAGUGAAAUGCGUAGAGAUGUGGAGGAAUACCGAUGGCGAAGGCAGCCCCCUGGGCCAAUACUGACGCUCAUGCACGAAAGCGUGGGGAGCAAACAGGAUUAGAAACCCUUGUAGUCCCAUGAU